rnacentral:rRNA from 1 species
CUGGUGGCGAGUGGCGGACGGGUGAGUAACGCGUGGGAAUCUACCUAUUAGUUGGGGACAACCUGGUGAAAACCAGGCUAAUACCGAAUGUGGUCUACGGACUAAAGCAGGGGAUCUUCGGACCUUGCGCUAAUAGAUGAGCCCGCGUUAGAUUAGCUAGUUGGUAGGGUAAAGGCCUACCAAGGCGACGAUCUAUAGCUGGUCUGAGAGGACGAUCAGCCACACUGGGACUGAGACACGGCCCAGACUCC